GAGGGUAUAGCUCAGCUGGUAGAGCGGCGGUCUCCAAAACCGCAGGUCGCGGGUUCGAAUCCUGCUGCCCCUGCCA
rnacentral:tRNA from 1 species